GACGAACGCUGGCGGCGUGCUUAACACAUGCAAGUCGAACGGAAAGGCCCUGCUUGCAGGGUACUCGAGUGGCCAACGGGUGAGUAACACGUGGGUGAUCUGCCCUGCACUUCGGGAUAAGCCUGGGAAACUGGGUCUAAUACCGGAUAGGAGCCAUUUUUAGUGUGAUGGUUGGAAAGUUUUUUCGGUGUAGGAUGAGCUCGCGGCCUAUCAGCUUGUUGGUGGGGUAAUGGCCUACCAAGGCGGCGACGGGUAGCCGGCCUGAGAGGGUGGACGGCCACAUUGGGACUGAGAUACGGCCCAGACUCCUACGGGAGGCAGCAGUGGGGAAUAUUGCACAAUGGGCGCAAGCCUGAUGCAGCGACGCCGCGUGGGGGAUGACGGCCUUCGGGUUGUAAACUCCUUUCGCUAGGGACGAAGCUUUUUGUGACGGUACCUAGAUAAGAAGCACCGGCUAACUACGUG
rnacentral:rRNA from 1 species